rfam:Morus notabilis contig610, whole genome shotgun sequence.
GUCCCUUUAUGGACAUCUGAUAAAAUUGGAAUACUACAAGGAAAGAUUAACGAAGCCACUGCAAAAGGAUGACACGGACAAAUCAAGAAAUUAUCCGGUCUGUU